UGGUUGAUGUUGCGUUCAGGUGAUGGUGACUUUGGGGGAUUUUCUGAGCUAUUGUAGGCAUCACAAAGCAGAUGGAGAAAACGAGUUUCCUGAGCACAUGUAGCUUUCAGAAGCUGGACCAUCAGAUGAAUUAACUGGGAGUAUCUAUGUGACAGGCAGCAGGGGGGCAGCUUAGUUUAGCUUAGUCAGUCACUCAUUCCGUUUUUUUUCCCCACCAAGCUAUGACCUUCAGCCGUGUGGAGCCACAGCGGUUGGUGUAGUCCUCUCAGCGUUGGACUGUGUGUACCUGGUAAAGAUCCAAAUGGAUAAAGCAUCCCGAAAGGUUUCGAACCAGGACAUAAAUCCUUGCUUAGAAGAGAGUGAUGCCUCCCACAAGUGUUUGGAUGCCUACAACUAUGAUAAGAGCAGGUGCUCAGCCUACUUCCUGAGAUAUAAGAACUGCAGAAAAUAUUGGCACGACAUAAUGGUGCAGAGGAGAAGAGAUGGUGUUAAACCUGAAAUGCCCACUGCUGCAGAGAGGCUAGAAAUCCUGAAUGCCAUUGGGGGCAAACCCUACUAACAGUGAACACCAUCACAAAGAUGCUGCGGACAGUUGGCCUGCGGAGAUGUGGAGAUCCUGAUACACUGCAGUGACUAUGGUGCCCCUGCCAUGGUGGGAAAAGAGCAAGGGGCUGUCCCCCGGGUGAAAGAGGACAAUCCAGAUCUUAUUGCUUACCACUGUCCUUAUCCAUCAGACCGUUCUGUGUGCCACCCUAUCAGAGCUUUAUGCUGAAGUAAUGAACACAGAAAUGAAGGUCAUGAACUUCCUGAGGGCAUCCUCAUUCCUUCAGCAUUGCCUCCUGAGAGAAUUCCUGGAAGAUGUUGAGGCAAACGUCAAUGACAGCACAACUUUAUGAGGUGGCUGAGUAAAGGCAAUGUACUGGGACGUUUCUGGUCUAUUCGAAAAUAAAUAGCAGCUUUUUCAAGGCCGGGCAGGAGUCAGAGAGCAACACAGUUUCCACUUUUCUGCAAGAAGAACACAAGAUGGAUAUGGUGGCUUUUUUGGUUGACAUAACAUCACACCUCAAUGAGCUGAAUUUAAAGCUGUAGGGCGAGAAUAAUUCAGUUGCUGAUUUGAUGACAGCUUUUUCGCUCCUUCCAGAAGAAGCUGGAAAUUUUCAAAGAAGAUCUUGAAAGAGAGUGUGAACACUUCUCAAAUCUGCAGGAACAAUGAGAGAGCUGUUUCUCCCUAUGUUGACUUCAUAAACAAACUGAUUGAGAACUUCAUUCAAAGGAUCAACCACUUCUGCUAUGGGCCGCAGCUCCUCCUGCUAAUCCACAAUCCUUUUCUUAUCAGAGAAAUCAAAGGAUUUUCGAAGGCGGCAAAACAGACUUUCAAGUGAGCAAAUGCAGGAUCUCUACAGUUUGAUCUCAUUGAUCUGCAAGGAAAUGCAGAAUUAAGAGAGCAUUUUGAGGCAACCGACCCUGCUAACUUCAGGCUAUAGACUGUGUCUAAAAGUGUGUUCCCUAGUGAGUCUAACCAAAGUAGCACUGCACAUGUUGACAAUGUUUGGAUCAACUUACAGCUAUGCAUCAGCUUUUUCCACUGUGAACUUUAUCAAAAGCAAGCACCGUUUUAGACUCACAAAUGAACACCUAAAUGUCUGCAUGAGAAUGGCACUGACCCUAUUCCAACCAAGAUUUAAACUACUGGCAGGACAAGCCCAUAUCUCUCAUUAAGUAAAAGAAAGAAUAAUCAAAAGACAGAAAAUGGUGUUAAAAGCUUUGUUUUCAGGUUCCUCCUGAAAGAGCCAUUGUUAUUUAAUGUUCUUUGAAGAUGCUAAGGUUGGUACCUUUUUAAGCAAAAAAACAUAACAAACAGAGAAACAUGCUUGCUUUCUCUAUUUGCACCACUUUUUUUUAUAAAAGAGCCACUUUUAUUUAUUUUUGUUUUCUAAAGAUGUUUUAUACGUAAAGCUUAAGCUUUCAGUUCUUAAGGUUUGGAUCUCUUCAAUUUGGAAGGUAAUAGGGCUAUUUGGCUCUGUUUGCACUUUAAACAUUUAUUUAAUUCAGUGAUUUCUGUUUUAAUGUGAAUAAAAGGCUUUAAAUUUG